rnacentral:tRNA from 2 species
GGGGCUAUAGCUUAGACGGUAGAGCAUCUGUUUUGCAAUCAGAAGGUCAGCGGUUCGAUUCCGCUUAGCUCCA